rnacentral:rRNA from 1 species
CCUACGGGGGGCAGCAGUGAGGAAUAUUGGUCAAUGGGCGAGAGCCUGAACCAGCCAAGUCGCGUGAAGGAUGACUGCUCUAUGGGUUGUAAACUUCUUUUAUAUGGGAAUAAAACGAGGAACGUGUUCCUUUUUGUAUGUACCAUAUGAAUAAGGAUCGGCUAACUCCGUGCCAGCAGCCGCGGUAAUACGGAGGAUCCGAGCGUUAUCCGGAUUUAUUGGGUUUAAAGGGUGCGUAGGUGGUUUGUUAAGUCAGUUGUGAAAGUUUGUGGCUCAACCGUAAAAUUGCCAUUGAUACUGGUAGUCUUGAGUACAGUUGAGGUAGGCGGAAUUCGUGGUGUAGCGGUGAAAUGCAUAGAUAUCACGAAGAACCCCGAUUGCGAAGGCAGCUUACUAAACUGUAACUGACACUGAAGCUCGAAAGUGUGGGGAUCAAACAGGAUUAGAUACCCCUGUAGUC